AUUGAACGCUGGCGGCAGGCCUAACACAUGCAGGUCGAGCGGAUGAAGGGAGCUUGCUCCUGGAUUCAGCGGCGGACGGGUGAGUAAUGCCUAGGAAUCUGCCUGGUAGUGGGGGAUAACGUCCGGAAACGGGCGCUAAUACCGCAUACGUCCUGAGGGAGAAAGUGGGGGAUCUUCGGACCUCACGCUAUCAGAUGAGCCUAGGUCGGAUUAGCUAGUUGGUGGGGUAAAGGCCUACCAAGGCGACGAUUCGUAACUGGUCUGAGAGGAUGAUCAGUCACACUGGAACUGAGACACGGUCCAGACUCCUACGGGAGGCAGCAGUGGGGAAUAUUGGACAAAGGGCGAAAGCCUGAUCCAGCCAUGCCGCGUGUGUGAAGAAGGUCUUCGGAUUGUAAAGCACUUUAAGUUGGGAGGAAGGGCAGUAAGUUAAUACCUUGCUGUUUUGACGUUACCAACAGAAUAAGCACCGGCUAACUUCGUG
rnacentral:rRNA from 1 species